GCGUGCUUAACACAUGCAAGUCGAACGAUGAAGCCCUUCGGGGUGGAUUAGUGGCGAACGGGUGAGUAACACGUGGGCAAUCUGCCCUGCACUCUGGGACAAGCCCUGGAAACGGGGUCUAAUACCGGAUACUGAUCGCCUUGGGCAUCCUUGGUGAUCGAAAGCUCCGGCGGUGCAGGAUGAGCCCGCGGCCUAUCAGCUUGUUGGUGAGGUAAUGGCUCACCAAGGCGACGACGGGUAGCCGGCCUGAGAGGGCGACCGGCCACACUGGGACUGAGACACGGCCCAGACUCCUACGGGAGGCAGCAGUGGGGAAUAUUGCACAAUGGGCGAAAGCCUGAUGCAGCGACGCCGCGUGAGGGAUGACGGCCUUCGGGUUGUAAACCUCUUUCAGCAGGGAAGAAGCGAAAGUGACGGUACCUGCAGAAGAAGCGCCGGCUAACUACGUGCCAGCAGCCGCGGUAAUACGUAGGGCGCGAGCGUUGUCCGGAAUUAUUGGGCGUAAAGAGCUCGUAGGCGGCUUGUCGCGUCGGUUGUGAAAGCCCGGGGCUUAACCCCGGGUCUGCAGUCGAUACGGGCAGGCUAGAGUUCGGUAGGGGAGAUCGGAAUUCCUGGUGUAGCGGUGAAAUGCGCAGAUAUCAGGAGGAACACCGGUGGCGAAGGCGGAUCUCUGGGCCGAUACUGACGCUGAGGAGCGAAAGCGUGG
rnacentral:rRNA from 1 species